rnacentral:rRNA from 1 species
GUCCUAGCCGUAAACGUUGGGUGCUAGGUGUGGGCGGACAUCGACCCCGUCCGUGCCGAAGCUAACGCAUUAAGCACCCCGCCUGGGGAGUACGGCCGCAAGGCUAAAACUCAAAGGAAUUGACGGGGCCCCCGCACAAGCGGCGGAGCAUGCUGCUUAAUUCGAUGCGACGCGAAGAACCUUACCUGGGCUUGACAUGCAGGGUGAAACCCGUGAAAACGGGCGCUCUUCGGAGCCUGCACAGGUGGUGCAUGGCUGUCGU